rnacentral:rRNA from 1 species
UCGAGGAUCUUUGGCAAUGGGCGCAAGCCUGACCAAGCGACGCCGCGUGGACGAUGAAGGCCUUCGGGUUGUAAAGUCCUGUCGAGGGGGAUAAAAGCGCAAGCUUGAUUGAUCCCUGGAGGAAGGGCGGGCUAAGUUCGUGCCAGCAGCCGCGGUAAGACGAACUGCCCAAACGUUGUUCGGAAUCACUGGGCUUAAAGGGUGCGUAGGCGGCUUAUCAAGUCAGGGGUGAAAUCCGGCAGCUCAACUGUCGAAGUGCCUUUGAUACUGAUGAGCUCGAGGGAGGUAGGGGUCCGUGGAACUUCUGGUGGAGCGGUGAAAUGCGUUGAUAUCAGAAGGAACGCCGGUGGCGAAAGCGACGGACUGGAUCUCUUCUGACGCUGAGGCACGAAAGCUAGGGGAGCAAACGG